rnacentral:pre_miRNA from 1 species
UCUUAUGUAUAAGCAAAUUAAUUGGUUUCUUGAGAUGGAAUCUAUUUCUGGUGAAGAUGUUGUGAA